CCUACGGGUGGCUGCAGUGAGGAAUAUUGGUCAAUGGGCGAGAGCCUGAACCAGCCAAGUCGCGUGAAGGAAGAAGGUUCUAUGGAUUGUAAACUUCUUUUGUAAGGGAAUAAAAAGAGUUACGUGUAACUUAUUGUAUGUACUUUACGAAUAAGGAUCGGCUAACUCCGUGCCAGCAGCCGCGGUAAUACGGAGGAUCCAAGCGUUAUCCGGAUUUAUUGGGUUUAAGGCGGGCGUUUACGUCAGUGUUGAAAGUUUGCGGCUCAACCGUAAAAUUGCCAUUGAAACUGAAGGUCUUGAGUGUAAAUGAGGUAGGCGGAAUGUGUUGUGUAGCGGUGAAAUGCUUAGAUAUAACACAGAACACCAAUUGCGAAGGCAGCUUACUGGGAUACAACUGACGCUGAGGCACGAAAGCGUGGGGAUCAAACAGGAUUAGAUACCCCAGUAGUC
rnacentral:rRNA from 1 species